GAUGAACGCUGGCGGCAUGCCUAAUACAUGCAAGUCGAACGAGAGGAAGGAAAGCUUGCUUUUCUGAAUCUAGUGGCGAACGGGUGAGUAACACGUAGGUAACCUGCCCAUGUGCCCGGGAUAACUUCUGGAAACGGAUGCUAAAACCGGAUAGGUAGCAGACAAGCAUUUGACUGCUAUUAAAGUGGCUAAGGCCAUGAACAUGGAUGGACCUGCGGUGCAUUAGCUAGUUGGUGAGGUAACGGCCCACCAAGGCGACGAUGCAUAGCAGGCCUUAGAGGGGGGACGGCCACAUUGGGACUGAGACACGGCCCAAACUCCUACGGGAGGAAGCAGUAGGGAAUUUUCGUCAAUGGGGGGAACCCUGAACGAGCAAUGCCGCGUGAGUGAGGAAGUUCUUCGGAUCGUAAAGCUCUGUUGUAAGAGAAAAACGACAUUCAUAGGGAAUGAUGAGUGAGUGAUGGUAUCUUACCAGAAAGUCACGGCUAACUACGUGCCAGCAGCCGCCGUAA
rnacentral:rRNA from 1 species